AUGAAAGAAAACUACAAAAAAAUGGAGUUAAGUUUGUCUCAUACGCUUCGUCUUUGUAAUAUCUUUCGUGAGUAUGAUGGAAAAGAAAAUUGUGCUCAAGUGCUAGAAGAAGAAUGCAUUAAAAUUCUUGGUACUAAAUCUUUGAAUGAUGAGCAUGAUUGCAAUAUUGUUAGUACGAACUCCUUGAAUAUCCAUGAUGCUAAUGAUAUGCAAAGCCACAAGCUUGGGGAAGCUAUGUUUGAUGAAUAUGAUAUUUUUAGUCCCCCAAGUUUUGAUGAGAAUAUUUAUUUUGAUGAAAGCAUGCCUCCUAUUUAUGAUGAUUAUAUUGAUGAGAGUGGGUUUGAAAGAGUGCCAACUUUAGGAAGUAGUGGUCCCACUAUUUUGGAGGAUGUUGAAUCUUAUUGUGAUGAAUAUGAAAGUGGAUUUGGAAGAGUGUCAACUUUAUUUAGUGAUGAAUCCACUAUUUCGAAAGAGGUUCCAAUUGAUUAUGAGAACAAAGUUGCUAUCUAUGAUGAUUAUUGUGAUGACUUUUAUGCUAUUAAGAAUAAUGAUAACCAUGAAACUUGUCAUCAUGAUUUUAGUUUUCAAUUGGAUUGUGCCUCACAUGAUAAUUAUUUUGUUGAGUUUGCUCCCACUACUAUUGAUGAGAAGAAUUUUGCUUAUGUGGAGAGUAGUAAAUUUUCUAUGCUUGUAGAUCAUGAAAAUAAUGCUUUAGGUGUUGGUUACAUUGUUGAAUUCAUUCAUGAUGCUACUGGAAAUUAUUAUGAGGGAGGAAUAUAUGCUUGUAGGAAUUGCAAUAAUGUCAAGUUUCCUCUCUAUGUGCUUCAAAUCUUGAAGCUAUGCUUGUUUUACCUUCCUAUGCUAGUUGAUGGUUGUUCCCAUAAGUUGUUUGCUCACAAAAUACCUUUGCAUAGGAAGUGGGUUAGGCUUAAAUGUGCUAGUCAUAUGCUUCAUGAUGCUCCCGUUAUGUUUCAAUUCUUAUCUUUUAUGUGA
rnacentral:rRNA from 1 species